UGAGCAACCUACCGAAAUGAGGGGGAUAGCCGGCCCAACGGCCGGGUAAUACCGCAUACGCUCGAGACCAGGCAUUUGGACUCGAGGAAACCUCCGGGGCAUUUCGAGGGGCUCGCGGCCUAUCAGCUAGUUGGUGAGGUAACGGCUCACCAAGGCGACGACGGGUAGCUGGUCUGAGAGGAUGGCCAGCCACAUUGGGACUGAGAUACGGCCCAGACUCCUACGGGAGCAG
rnacentral:rRNA from 1 species